GACGAACGCUGGCGGCGUGCUUAACACAUGCAAGUCGAACGGAAAGGCCCUGCUUUUGUGGGGUGCUCGAGUGGCGAACGGGUGAGUAACACGUGAGUAACCUGCCCUUGACUUUGGGAUAACUUCAGGAAACUGGGGCUAAUACCGGAUAGGAGAUCCCGCUGCAUGGUGGGGGUUGGAAAGUUUCGGCGGUUGGGGUUGGACGCGCGGCUGACCAGUUUGUUGGUGGGGUAGUGGCUGACCAAGUGUUAGACGGGUAGGCGGCCUGGGAGGGUGACCGGCGACAAUGGGCCUAAGAGACGGCGCAGACUGCAACGGGAGGCAGCAGUGGGGAAUAUUGCACAGUGGUCCGACGCCUGAUGCAGAGACGUCGCGUGCGGGAUGACGGCCUUCGGGGUGUAAACCGCAUUCGCCUGAGACGAAGCGGGAGUGACGGUAAUGGGUAAAGAAGCACCGGCUAACUACGUG
rnacentral:rRNA from 1 species